rnacentral:rRNA from 1 species
UGCGGAGGGACAUUACAAGUGACCC